rnacentral:rRNA from 1 species
UGGGGAAUUUUGGACAAUGGGCGAAAGCCUGAUCCAGCAAUGCCGCGUGUGUGAAGAAGGCCUUCGGGUUGUAAAGCACUUUUGUCCGGAAAGAAAUCCUUGGCUCUAAUACAGUCGGGGGAUGACGGUACCGGAAGAAUAAGCACCGGCUAACUACGUGCCAGCAGCCGCGGUAAUACGUAGGGUGCAAGCGUUAAUCGGAAUUACUGGGCGUAAAGCGUGCGCAGGCGGUUUGCUAAGACCGAUGUGAAAUCCCCGGGCUCAACCUGGGAACUGCAUUGGUGACUGGCAGGCUAGAGUAUGGCAGAGGGGGGUAGAAUUCCACGUGUAGCAGUGAAAUGCGUAGAGAUGUGGAGGAAUACCGAUGGCGAAGGCAGCCCCCUGGGCCAAUACUGACGCUCAUGCACGAAAGCGUGGGGAGCAAACAGGAUUAGAUACCCUGGUAGUCCACGCCCUAAACGAUGUCAACUAGUUGUCGGGUCUUCAUUGACUUGGUAACGUAGCUAACGCGUGAAGUUGACCGCCUGGGGAGUACGGUCGCAAGAUUAAAACUUAAAUGAAUUGACGGGGUCUAGCUG